UACGUAGGGACCAAGCGUUGUUCGGAUUUACUGGGCGUAGAGGGCGCGUAGGCGGCAUGUUAAGUCAGCUGUGAAAUCUCCGAGCUUAACUCGGAACUGUCAGCUGAUACUGAUGUGCUAGAGUGCAGAAGGGGCAAUCGGAAUUCUUGGUGUAGCGGUGAAAUGCGUAGAUAUCAAGAGGAACACCUGAGGUGAAGACGGGUUGCUGGGCUGACACUGACGCUGAGGCGCGAAAGCCAGGGGAGCAAACGGG
rnacentral:rRNA from 1 species